rnacentral:rRNA from 1 species
GAUGAACGCUGGCGGCGUGCCUAAUACAUGCAAGUCGAGCGAACAGACGAGGAGCUUGCUCCUCUGACGUUAGCGGCGGACGGGUGAGUAACACGUGGAUAACCUACCUAUAAGACUGGGAUAACUUCGGGAAACCGGAGCUAAUACCGGAUAAUAUAUUGAACCGCAUGGUUCAAUAGUGAAAGACGGUUUUGCUGUCACUUAUAGAUGGAUCCGCGCCGCAUUAGCUAGUUGGUAAGGUAACGGCUUACCAAGGCAACGAUGCGUAGCCGACCUGAGAGGGGGAUCGGCCACACGGGAACUGAGACACGGCCCAGACUCUUACGGGAGGCAGCGGUAGGGAAUCUUCCGAAAUGGGCGAAAGCCUGACGGAGAAACGCCGGGUGGGUGAUGAAGGUCUUCGGAUCGUAAAACGCUGUUAUUAGGGAAAAAAAAAUGUGUAAUUAACUAUGCACGUCUUGACGGUACCAAAUCAGAAAGCCACGGCUAACUACGU